CCUUUCCUUCGGGACAGGGGAGACAGGUGGUGCAUGGUUGUCGUCAGCUCGUGUCGUGAGAUGUUGGGUUAAGUCCCGCAACGAGCGCAACCCUUAUCCUUAGUAGCCAGCAGGUAAAGCUGGGCACUCUAGGGAGACUGCCAGGGAUAACCUGGAGGAAGGUGGGGAUGACGUCAAAUCAUCAUGCCCCUUAUGAUUUGGGCUACACACGUGCUACAAUGGCGUAAACAAAGGGAAGCGACCCUGCGAAGGCAAGCAAAUCCCAAAAAUAACGUCCCAGUUCGGACUGUAGUCUGCAACCCGACUACACGAAGCUGGAAUCGCUAGUAAUCGCGAAUCAGAAUGUCGCGGUGAAUACGUUCCCGGGUCUUGUACACACCGCCCGUCACACCAUGGGAGUCAGCAACGCCCGAAGUCAGUGACCCAACCGAAAGGAGGGAGCUGCCGAAGGCGGGGCAGGUAACUGGGGUGAAGUCGUAACAAGGUAGCCGUAUCGGAAGGUGCGGCUGGAUCACCUCCUUUCUAAGGAA
rnacentral:rRNA from 1 species